rnacentral:rRNA from 1 species
CACAGAGUUAGCAACCUCUUAUUCCCUUGGUACCGUCAGCCGAAGCUUCGUCCCAAGGAAAAGCAGUUUACAAGCCGAAGCCCGUCUUCCUGCACGCGGCGUCGCUCCAUCAGGGUUUCCCCCAUUGUGGAAUAUUCGUGACUGCAGCCACCCGUAGGUGUCUGGGCAGUGUCUCAGUCCCAGUGAGCCGGGUCAUGCUCUCACACCCGGUAUCCGUCGUUGCCUUGGUGAGCCAUUACCUCACCAACUAGCUGAUAGAACAUAGGCCCCUCUCGAGGCGGCUUGCGCCUUUACUGGAAGAUCUUGCGACCCUCCACCACAUCCGGUAUUAGCGUUCCUUUCGGAACGUUAUGCCGAACUUCGAGGUAGGUUACCAAUGUGUUACUCACCCGUUUGCCACUACCAUUUCAUAACCUUGCGGAAAUGAAAUGAUCGUACACUUGCAUGCCUUAGCCACGCCGCAGCGUUCAUCCUGAGCCAGGAUCAAACUCU